AGAACGAACGCUGGCGGCAUGCCUAAUACAUGCAAGUCGAACGAACACUUCGGUGUUAGUGGCGCACGGGUGCGUAACGCGUGGGGAAUCUGCCCUUGGGUUCGGAAUAACAGUUGGAAACGACUGCUAAUGCCGGAUGAUAUCGAAAGAUCAAAGAUUUAUCGCCCAGGGAUGAGCCCGCGUAGGAUUAGCUAGUUGGUGAGGUAAAGGCUCACCAAGGCGACGAUCCUUAGCUGGUCUGAGAGGAUGAUCAGCCACACUGGGACUGAGACCACGGCCCAGACUCCGUACGGGAGCAGCAGGUAGGAAUAUGGACAAUGGGCGACAAGCCU
rnacentral:rRNA from 1 species